GACGAACGCUGGCGGCGUGCUUAACACAUGCAAGUCGAGCGAAAAGGCUUUGCUAUUGCGCGUCGGUCGAGAGGUGAACGGGUGUGUAACACGUGAGUAGACUGCCCCUUACUUAGGGUUAAUUACACGAUACUGGGGCUAAUACAGGAUAGGAUCUAUUGCUGCAUGGUGGGCGUUGGAAAGUUUCGGCGGUUGGGGAUGUACUCGCGGCUUAUCUGCUUUUUGGUGGGGUAGUGGAUUACCAAGGCUUAGAGGGGUAGCCGGCCUGAGAGGGUGACCGGCAACAUUAGGACUGAGAUAAGGACCAGACUAAUACGGGAGGCAACGGUGGAGAGUAUUGCAGAGUAGGCGGAAGCCAGAUGCGACGACGCCGCGUGCGGGAUACCAGGCUUCGGGUUGAAAACCAAUGUCGCCUGUGACGAGGAGUGAGUGACGGUAAUAGAUAAAAAAGCCCCGGCUAACUACGUG
rnacentral:rRNA from 1 species